rnacentral:rRNA from 1 species
UACGUAGGGUGCAAGCGUUGUCCGGAAUUAUUGGGCGUAAAGAGCUCGUAGGCGGUCUGUCGCGUCUGCUGUGAAAACUCAGGCUUAACCCUGAGCUUGCAGUGGGUACGGGCAGACUAGAGUGCGGUAGGGGAGACUGGAAUUCCUGGUGUAGCGGUGAAAUGCGCAGAUAUCAGGAGGAACACCGGUGGCGAAGGCGGGUCUCUGGGCCGUAACUGACGCUGGAGGAGCGAAAGCAUUGGGGAGCGAACAGGA